rnacentral:rRNA from 1 species
UCGCGAGAGUCGCAAUCUCAUAAACCGUGGCUCAGUUCAGAUCGUAGGCUGCAACUCGCCUACGUGAAGGAGGAAUCGCUAGUAAUCGCAGGUCAGCAUACUGCGGUGAAUACGUUCCCGGGCCUUGUACACACCGCCCGUCACACCAUGGAAGUUGGCCACGCCCGAAGUCGUUACUCCAACCCUCUGGGAGGAGGACGCCGAAGGUGGGGCUGAUGACUGGGGUGAAGUCGUAACAAGGUAGCCGUACCGGAAGGUGCGGCUGGAUCACCUCCUAACA